GGCUAGCGUUGUUCGGAAUCACUGGGCGUAAAGCGCACGUAGGCGGAUUGUUAAGUCGGGGGUGAAAUCCUGAGGCUCAACCUCAGAACUGCCUUCGAUACUGGCAAUCUCGAGUCCGGAAGAGGUUGGUGGAACAGCUAGUGUAGAGGUGAAAUUCGUAGAUAUUAGCUAGAACACCAGUGGCGAAGGCGGCCAACUGGUCCGGUACUGACGCUGAGGUGCGAAAGCGUGGGGAGCAAACAGG
rnacentral:rRNA from 1 species